UACGGGGGGAGCAAGCGUUGUUCGGAUUUACUGGGCGUAAAGGGCGCGUAGGCGGCGCAACAAGUCACUUGUGAAAUCUCCGGGCUUAACUCGGAAAGGUCAAGUGAUACUGUUGUGCUAGAGUCCGGAAGAGGAGAGUGGAAUUCCCGGUGUAGCGGUGAAAUGCGCAGAUAUCGGGAAGAACACCCGUGGCGAAGGCGGCUCUCUGGGACGGUACUGACGCUGAGACGCGAAAGCGUGGGGAGCGAACAGG
rnacentral:rRNA from 1 species